rnacentral:rRNA from 1 species
AGUGUACGCUGGCGGCAGGCCUAACACAUGCAAGUCGAACGGCAGCACAAGAGAGCUUGCUCUCUGGGUGGCGAGUGGCGGACGGGUGAGGAAUGCAUCGGAAUCUGCCCAUUUGUGGGGGAUAACCUCGGGAAACCGGGACUAAUACCGCAUACGACCUACGGGUGAAAGCAGGGGAUCUUCGGACCUUGCGCAGAUGGAUGAGCCGAUGCCGGAUUAGCUAGUUGGAGGGGUAAAGGCCCACCAAGGCGGCGAUCCGUAGCUGGUCUGAGAGGAUGAUCAGCCACACUGGGACUGAGACACGGCCCAGACUCCUACGGGAGGCAGCAGUGGGGAAUAUUGGACAAUGGGCGCAAGCCUGAUCCAGCCAUGCCGCGUGUGUGAAGAAGGCCUUCGGGUUGUAAAGCACUUUUGUUGGGAAAGAAAAGCAGCCGGUUAAUACCCGGUUGUCAUGACGGUACCCAAAGAAUAAGCACCGGCUAACGUCGUG